CACGUAGGGUGCGAGCGUUGUCCGGAAUUAUUGGGCGUAAAGAGCUCGUAGGCGGUGUGUCGCGUCGGCCGUGAAAACCUGCAGCUUAACUGUGGGCUUGCGGUCGAUACGGGCAUCACUGGAGUUCGGCAGGGGGAGACUGGAAUUCCUGGUGUAGCGGUGAAAUGCGCAGAUAUCAGAGGAACACCGGUGGCGAAGGGCGGGGUCUCUGGGGCCGAUACUGACGCUGAGGAGCGAAAAGCGUGGGGGGGGAGCGAACAGG
rnacentral:rRNA from 1 species